UGAAGACCCCAUUCCACAACGGAUCGUCCGGCACGUACCUGCCGGUGGAAGGACACACGA
rfam:Kineococcus radiotolerans SRS30216, complete genome.